UUGGUUAAGUUAGAAAGGGCGCACGGUGGAUGCCUUGGCACUAGGAGCCGAAGAAGGACGGGACUAACACCGAUAUGCUUUGGGGAGCUGUACGUAAGCGUUGAUCCAGAGAUUUCCGAAUGGGGGAACCCACUAUCUUUAGUCGGAUAGUAUCCUUACGUGAAUACAUAGCGUGAGGAAGGCAGACCCAGGGAACUGAAACAUCUAAGUACCUGGAGGAAGAGAAAGAAAAAUCGAUUUCCUGAGUAGCGGCGAGCGAAACGGAAAGAGCCCAAACCAAGAAGCUUGCUUCUUGGGGUUGUAGGACACUCUAUACGGAGUUACAAAAGAAAGUUAUAAAUGAAGCGGUCUGGAAAGGCCCGCCAAAGACGGUAACAGCCCGGUAGUUGAAAUGGCUUUCCCUCCAGAGUGGAUCCUGAGUACGGCGGAACACGUGAAAUUCCGUCGGAAUCCGGGAGGACCAUCUCCCAAGGCUAAAUACUCCCUAGUGACCGAUAGUGAACCAGUACCGUGAGGGAAAGGUGAAAAGCACCCCGGAAGGGGAGUGAAACAGUUCCUGAAACCGUGUGCCUACAAGUAGUUAGAGCCCGUUAAUGGGUGAUAGCGUGCCUUUUGUAGAAUGAACCGGCGAGUUACGAUUUGUUGCAAGGUUAAGCGGAAAAAGCGGAGCCGUAGCGAAAGCGAGUCUGAAUAGGGCGCAUAAGUAACAGGUCGUAGACCCGAAACCAGGUGAUCUACCCAUGUCCAGGAUGAAGGUAAGGUAAUACUUACUGGAGGUCCGAACCCACGCACGUUGAAAAGUGCGGGGAUGAGGUGUGGGUAGCGGAGAAAUUCCAAUCGAACUUGGAGAUAGCUGGUUCUCUCCGAAAUAGCUUUAGGGCUAGCCUCGAGGUAAAGAGUCAUGGAGGUAGAGCACUGUUUGGACUAGGGGCCCUUCUCGGGUUACCGAAUUCAGAUAAACUCCGAAUGCCAUGUACUUAUACUCGGGAGUCAGACUGCGAGUGAUAAGAUCCGUAGUCGAAAGGGAAACAGCCCAGACCACCAGUUAAGGUCCCCAAAUAUAUGUUAAGUGGAAAAGGAUGUGGGGUUGCUUAGACAACCAGGAUGUUGGCUUAGAAGCAGCCACCAUUGAAAGAGUGCGUAAUAGCUCACUGGUCGAGUGACCCCGCGCCGAAAAUGUACCGGGGCUAAACAUAUUACCGAAACUGUGGAUGAACCUCUUUAGAGGUUCGUGGUAGGAGAGCGUUCUAAGGGCGGUGAAGUCAGACCGGAAGGACUGGUGGAGCGCUUAGAAGUGAGAAUGCCGGUAUGAGUAGCGAAAGAAGGGUGAGAAUCCCUUCCACCGAAUAUCUAAGGUUUCCUGAGGAAGGCUCGUCCGCUCAGGGUUAGUCGGGACCUAAGCCGAGGCCGAUAGGCGUAGGCGAUGGACAACAGGUAGAGAUUCCUGUACCAGUGCUAAUUGUUUAACCGAUGGGGUGACACAGAAGGAUAGGGAAUCGCACGAAUGGAAAUGUGCGUCCAAGCAGUGAGUGUGAGAAGUAGGCAAAUCCGCUUCUCGCGAAGCAUGAGCUGUGAUGGGGAAGGAAAUUAAGUACGGAAGUUCCUGAUUUCACGCUGUCAAGAAAAGCCUCUAGGAAGAGUAGUACUGCCCGUACCGCAAACCGACACAGGUAGAUGAGGAGAGAAUCCUAAGGUGAGCGAGAGAACUCUCGUUAAGGAACUCGGCAAAAUGACCCCGUAACUUCGGGAGAAGGGGUGCUCUAUUAGGGUGCAAGCCCGAGAGAGCCGCAGUGAAUAGGCCCAGGCGACUGUUUAGCAAAAACACAGGUCUCUGCAAAACCGUAAGGUGACGUAUAGGGGCUGACGCCUGCCCGGUGCUGGAAGGUUAAGAGGAGUGCUUAGCUUCGGCGAAGGUACGAAUUGAAGCCCCAGUAAACGGCGGCCGUAACUAUAACGGUCCUAAGGUAGCGAAAUUCCUUGUCGGGUAAGUUCCGACCCGCACGAAAGGCGCAACGAUCUGGGCACUGUCUCAACGAGAGACUCGGUGAAAUUAUAGUACCUGUGAAGAUGCAGGUUACCCGCGACAGGACGGAAAGACCCCGUGGAGCUUUACUGCAACCUGAUAUGGAAUGUUUGUACCGCUUGUACAGGAUAGGUAGGAGCCGAAGAGACGUGUGCGCU
rnacentral:rRNA from 1 species